rnacentral:rRNA from 1 species
CCAUAGGUGUAGUCCCACCUGAACGUGCCCGAUCUUGCCUGAUCUUGGAAGCUAAGCAGGGUCAGGCCUGGUCAGUAGUUGGAUGGGAGAAAACCCAGUUUUUCAUUGA